AGUGGGAUAGCUGGGUCAAAUAGUGGUUCCAUUCCAUGUUUUCUAAGGAAUCUGCAUAAUACUUUCCAGAGUGGUUGUAGAAAUUUGCAGUCCCACCAGUAAU
rnacentral:pre_miRNA from 1 species